rnacentral:rRNA from 1 species
AUACGGAGGGUGCAAGCGUUGUUCGGAAUUACUGGGCGUAAAGCGCGUGCAGGCGGUAAGGUAAGUCAGAUGUGAAAGCCCCGGGCUCAACCCGGGAAGUGCAUUUGAUACUGCCUUUCUUGAGUAUGGGAGAGGAGAGUGGAAUUCCCAGUGUAGAGGUGAAAUUCGUAGAUAUUGGGAGGAACACCCGUGGCGAAGGCGACUCUCUGGACCAAUACUGACGCUGAGACGCGAAAGCGUGGGGAGCGAACAGAAUUAGAAACCCUAGUAGUCC